AGAGCGAACGCUGGCGGCAGGCCUAACACAUGCAAGUCGAGCGCCCCGCAAGGGGAGCGGCAGACGGGAGAGUAACACGUGGGAACGUACCCUUCAGUUCGGAACAACCCAGGGAAACUUGGGCUAAUACCGAAUACGUCCGUAAGGAGAAAGAUUUAUCGCUGAAGGAUCGGCCCGCGUCUGAUUAGCUAGUUGGUGAGGUAACGGCUCACCAAGGCUACGAUCAGUAGCUGGUCUGAGAGGAUGAUCAGCCUCACUGGGACUGAGACACGGCCCAGACUCCUACGGGAGGCAGCAGUGGGGAAUAUUGGACAAUAGGCGCAAGCCUGAUCCAGCCAUGCCGCGUGGAUGAUGAAGGCCUUAGGGUUGUAAAGUCCUUUCGACGGGGAAGAUAAUGACGGUACCCGUAGAAGAAGCCCCGGCUAACUUCGUGCCAGCAGCCGC
rnacentral:rRNA from 1 species